rnacentral:rRNA from 1 species
AUGUCUUUAGGUGUGCUCACAGGUCGCCCUGCGGAGGAAAUGCCUGGGUCAACAGGUGACCAACUUCCCGAGCUGGCGCAAUUGUUCGAACGUGUUCGGCAGGCAAUGAGUGGCGUCGUUCAGGCUUUAUGGCCAUCCGUCUCCUUACCCGAGGGCCUUGGUGAACUUGCUGAGAAGCUCCAGGGAGCACGGCGACGCCUCCGUUUGUGGAAGAUAUUGGCCUGCCGUCAGGGCGCCAGGGAGGCCUGGGCCAUGGUGAAGACGCGCUACCCGAAGGCUGACCCAGACCACAUGGCCGAGGUCGGACCUGCGGGGCCUGAUGGGGAGGAGAUCCCUGUGAGCUUGAUGUAUGGCCAAGUAGAACUGGCCGUAAAAUAUUCCCAACAGGACUGUAAAUUAGACAGCCUGUUAGAUGGGAUUGAGGAGGAGUACAAUCAGUCGGUUUGA